UACGUAGGGAGCAAGCGUUGUUCGGAUUUACUGGGCGUAAAGGGCGCGUAGGCGGCAAUUCAAGUCAUCUGUGAAAUCUCCGGGCUUAACUCGGAACGGUCAGAUGAUACUGUUUUGCUAGAGUGCAGAAGGGGCAAUCGGAAUUCUUGGUGUAGCGGUGAAAUGCGUAGAUAUCAAGAGGAACACCUGAGGUGAAGACGGGUUGCUGGGCUGACACUGACGCUGAGACGCGAAAGCGUGGGGAGCAAACAGG
rnacentral:rRNA from 1 species